rnacentral:rRNA from 1 species
AAAGCCACGGCUAACUACGUGCCAGCAGCCGCGGUAAUACGUAGGUGGCAAGCGUUAUCCGGAAUUACUGGGCGUAAAGAGUGAGCAGGCGGUUAGAUAAGUCUAUGGUUAAAUGCAACAGCUCAACUGUUGUUCGCUAUAGAAACUAUUUAACUAGAGUGCGGGAGAGGUAAGUGGAACUCCAUAUGUAGCGGUGGAAUGCUUAGAUAUAUGGAAGAACACCAGAGGCGAAGGCGGCUUACCAGUCCGUAACUGACGCUCAGUCACGAAAGCGUGGGGAGCAAAUAGGAUUAGAUAUCCUAGUAGUCCACGCCGUAAACGAUGAGAACCUGAUGCAGGAGAUAUUCUGUGUCGAAGCUAACGCGUUAAGUUCUCCGCCUGGGUACUACGUUCGCAAGAAUAAAACUUAAAGGAAUUGACGGGCGCCCGCACAAGCAGUGGAGCAUGGGGUUUAAUUCGUCGAUACACGAAAAACCUUACCAGGGCUUGACAUCCCGCUAAAAGCCUUAGAAAUAAGGAAAUAGUUAUAGCGGUGACAGGUGGUGCAUGGUUGUCGUCAGCUCGUGCCGUGAGGUGUUAGGUUAAGUCCUCAAACGAGCGCAACCCUUGUCUUUAGUUGCCAUUAUUAAUUUAGGAACUCUAGAGAGACUGCCGGCGCAAGCCGGAGGAAGGCGGGGAUGACGUCAAAUCAUCAUGCCCUUUAUGCCCUGGGCCACACCCGUGCUACAAUGGUCGGUACAAAGAGAAGCAACACUGUGAGGUGAAGCAAAUCCCAUAAAGCCGAUCUCAAUUCGGAUUGAAGUCUGCAACUCGACUUCAUGAAGCUGGAAUUGCUAGUAAUCGCAGAUCAGCAACGCUGCGGUGAAUACGUUCUCGGGCGUUGUACACACUGCCCGUCACACCAUGAGAGCCGGUAAUACUCGAAGUCGUUAGCCUAACCGUAAGGAGGGCGGCGCCUAAGGUAGGACUGGUGAUUGGGGUUAAGUCGUAACAAGGUAUCCCUACGAGAACGUGGGGAUG